CGGCGUAAAACACCAAUGCUUUCUUAAUUCCCAUUGGCUUCGGAUGUCCAAUCGGCUUAUCGGCACCAGUCGCUUUCCAAUAACCAGUUCCAGCAGCUCGAUUUGGGCGUGAACCGUUCGGAUACUUUCGGUCUCGAGGUGAAAAGAAGUACCAUUCUUUCUCCCCAUACAAUGCCAAAUCUGAAACAGAAAUACCAAAAUUUUGGUUAAUUCAAAAAUUCACCUUCAAAAUUUUCAACUGUUCUAUAUUAACAAAGGUGAAGGAGAACAUUACUUACGAGGAAGAUCCCAAGGGUCAUACUUGUAGAGGUC
rnacentral:lncRNA from 1 species